GGGCGAAUAGCUCAGUUGGUCAGAGCGUCCGGCUUACACCCGGAAGGUCGGGGGUUCGAGACCCUCUUCGCCCACCG
rnacentral:tRNA from 1 species